rnacentral:rRNA from 1 species
CUGAAUAACGGUCCUACCUUACAUUUCUUACUCUAACCAUCUUCAUCAUCCAUUACCCAAACAUUAUCAUAGGAAUUGUCUCCUUCCUCCCAGGUUAACAUACCAAGAGAAUUCUGUAUGACAACAAAGUUUUGCUUGGUCUUUUCUCCGGUUCCUAGCAUUGGUAUAUUCUCAAAAACCUUUCUACUCACAUCAAAGCGUACCAACACCAUAUGGGACCCAAAUUCAAUAGCUACAAAUUCCAACCAAUAACGAUAGCAAUGUUAGCACAACGAACAAUAUGACAAACCAGCUCAUUUCUAAGCUUCUUCCAUUGGAGAUUCUUCAUCAAAUACAUUUCCACAAUGUUUUGGUUCAAAAUAAUUUUUUCUCAGAAAACUAUUUGUUUUAAUUUAAAAUUAAAAUAGGCAAAUGUGUGUAAAAGUGUAUUUUGGAAUAAUAUUUUUUUUACCAAAAUUAUAUAAAUAUAUAUUAUUUUUAAUACAUCAAACCAAACAAUUUGUAAGAAAUAAUGUCUGCAUGACUAAAUGCGAGUCCACAUUAAGGGAAAUCGUGACAAAUGGUGGUUGUAACUCUAAUCUGUUUGUUGUUGCGGUUACAACCCAUCGUGUAUCCGGACUCCAGGAUCCUAUCGCACUUAGGCUCUCUAACCAUGACCCCAGAUCAUACGGGAUUAACCCCUAAGUUUAAUCAUAUCAAUAAGCUGAGGAAAAGAAACUUAUAAGGAUUUUCUUAGUUUCAGAUAGCAAAUCGAGAAUAGCCCAACCUUAGAAGUGGGCAGCUUCGUCAUCCGAAUUAUAGUCUGGAGAAGUAUCCUCAGCAGCGGACCAAGCCCAAGUUCCCUAAAAGGGGGUGCCAGAGAAGGUGAGAGCCUCGUUGUGCUCGGACCCUAUCACACUAUGAGGUGCUGUCUACAAGUUUGGUUGUUUGGGAAUGCAGCUUAAAUCGGGCGGUCAAUUCCAUCAAAGGCUAAAUACGGGCGAGAGACCAAUAGCGAACAAGUACCAUGAGGGAAAGAUAAAAAGGACUUUGAAAAGAGAGUCAAUGAGUUCUUCAAAUUAUUAAGAGGGAUGAAUAGAAGAUCAUGGUAGUUCCUGCAAAACCUUGGGUGCGAGUGGCCGUCGGUGCAGAUCAUGGUGGUAGUAGGAAAUAUUCAAACGAGAACAUUGAAGGCUGAAGAGAGGAAAAGUUCUAAGUAAACGACACUUGCACAUGGUUUAGUCUAUCCUAAUGGUCUGGGAAACCUCGACAGAUAACGCUUUUCGUGCUUACUCUGAAAAGGAAUCGGGUUAAAAUUCCUGAACUGGAAAGUGGUGGUCGAUAACAACAUUAGGAAGUUCGGAGACAUAGGCAGAAGCCUCCGAAAGAGUUAUCUUUUCUAUUUAAUAGCCUGCCCACCCUGGAAUUGGCUUAGCUGGAGGUACGGUCCAGCUGCUGGAAGAGCACUGUACAUUGUAUGGUAUCGAUGCGCUCCCAGCGGCCCUUGAAAAUCAUGAGGACCAAAUGCAGUCGACGCCAGGUCAUACUCAUAACCGUAUCAGGUCUCCAAGGUGAACAACCUCUAGUUGAUGGAAUAAUGUAAGUAAUGGAAGUCGGCAAAAUGGAUCCAUAACUUUGGGAAAAGGAUUGGCUCUGAGGGCUAGGCACGGGGUUCCAAGUCCCGAACUUGUCAGCUGUCGAUGGACUGUUAAAGCUGCUCCCAUGGCUAAAGCGGGUCACUGCGUAUCGGAUAGGGGACGAACUGGGAACGGUUCCUUCAGGGGCCUUCCCCAUGCGUCGAACAACUAACUCAAAAGUAGUACGGACAAGGGGAAUUUGACUGUUUAAUUAAAAAAAGCAUUGCAAUGGUCCCAACGGAUGUUCACACAAUGUGAUUUCUACCAGUGUUCUGAAUCUCAAAGUGAAGAAAUUAAACUAAGCAUGGGUAAAUGGCGGGAGUAACUAUGACUCUCUUAAGGUAUCCAAAUGCCUCGUCAUCGUAUUAGUGACGUGCAUGAAUAGAUUAACGAGAUUCCCACUGUCCCUAUCUACUAUGCAGUGAAAACACAGCCAAGUAAACGGGCUUGGUAGAAUCAGCCAGGAAGCAAGACCCUGUUGAGCUUGACUCUAGUACAACUUUGUGAAAUGACUUGAGAGGUGUACUAUAUUUGGGAGUAGAAAGGGGAAGUGAAAUACCACUACUUUUAACAUUAUUUUACUUAUUUCUUGAAUUGAAAGAGGGACAUUGCCUCUCUGUUUUGACCCAAGGCUCACUCUACAAGUUGAUCUGAGCAAAAGACAUUAUCAGGUGGGGAGUUUGGCUGGGGAUACACAUUUGUUAGAAGAUAAUGCAGGUGUCCUAAGAUGAUCUCAACGAGAAUAGAAAUCUCGUAUGGAAUAGAAGGGUAAAAACUCAUUUGAUUCUGAUUUCUAGUACGAAUACGAACCGUGAAAGCGUGGCCUAAUAAUUCUUUAAACCUUCAAAAUUUGAAGAUAGAUAUAUCAUAAAAGUUACCACAGUGAUAACUGGCUUGUGGAAACCAAGCAUUCAUAGCAACGUUGCUUUUUGAUCCUUCGAUGUCAGCUUUUCCUAUCAUUGCGAAGCAGAAUUCACAAAGAGUUGGAUUGUUCACCCACAAAUAGUGAACGCGAGCUGGGUUAAGACGGUCUUGAGUCAAGUUAGUUCUACCCUACUGAUGAUAAUGUUGCAAUAGUAAUUCAACCUAGUACGAGAAGAACCGUUGAUUCACCUAAUUGGUUGUUGCGCUUGGUUGAAAAGCCAGUAGCGCGAAGCAACCGUGUGCUGGAUUAUGACUAAAUACCUCUAAGUCAAAAUCCGAGAUAGAAGUGAUGCAUGCACCCAUCGUCCACUUGCCGACCUGCAGUAGGGGCCUCGGCAUCUAAGGACCCGUGUCGUUGGCUAAGCCAUCAUGAUAGAAGGGUUGCGAUGGCCACCUUGAAGCACAAUUUCCAUUGAGCGAUGGUUAAAAUCCCUUGCAGAUGACUUAAAUGCUCAAUGGGGCAUUGUAAGUGGCAGAGUGGCCUUGCUGCCAUGAUCCACUGAGAUUUAGCCCUUUGUCUCUCCAGUUCUU